UGAGGCCCUCAAUCCAACAGCCCAUGAGCAGCUGAGGCCUGGCAACAGCCAGGGAAUUUGGCUUAGAAAGGGAUAUUUUGGUCCCAGACAAACUUAUGAUUACAGUCCUGGCUGACAUCUUGACAGCAACCUGUUGAAAGAUCCCGAGUUGGAACUACCCAGCUUAUCCCUGAUCCCGGAUCCUUGGAAAUUUAAGUCUUCAUAGAAACUGCCCUAAUGAAGAGAAAGAAGAGAAAGACUUGAAAACCUCCCGAGUUCUUCAAAAAGGCUUCCUUUGCAUGGAAUCGUCCAUCAAUUUCAACAGAAACAGAAAGUAAUGGAAACAUACUUUUGAUGUUGGAGAUCAUUGUGUACAUCAGUGGACGCAGAAGGUGGAUUUGACCCAGCCUGUCACUUCCCCCCACCUGCCCCCAAUUACCUGGAUGAUGUAUUAGAGUGGGCAAUGCUACUGAAGAAUUCUUUCAUCUGAGAGUAAAGAUGAAAACAGAGCAGUAAGUUCUCCCUGCAUUGUUCCCUAGCUCUUUGUUUUAUCUUCCAAAGGUUUGAUGUUUGAUAAUGAAUAAAUUAGGAUAAAAUAUGAAUGCACCCUCUGUAAGGACCCAGCGGGAAACAUUGGCUGUUGAGCCAGAUCUCAAUCAGUGAAUGAAAGGGCUUCAUUUUGGCAUCAAGGCUAGGCCUGGGAAGUCUGCUUAUUUAGAAGAAAAUUUAAGAUGAAAAAGGAAAUAUGUGUGCCUGGUGUUUAUGUGUG